GGGCCGUUAGCUCAAUUGGUAGAGCACCGGUCUCCAAAACCGGGGGUUGGAGGUUCGAGUCCUUCACGGCCCG
rnacentral:tRNA from 1 species